AUGAUGCAGCCCUCUGUCCAUAUAUUCACAUGCUCAUAGAGCCACACCUGAAUCGAGAUCUAUUUUGUAAAUAUCUGAAGAUAAGGUUGAUGGGCUGCACCAUCACCUUCUGCACCUUUUGGCCCUGGCUAUGGUACACCAUGGUGGAACUCUUACAAA